ACCGAGGGGAAACGCCCGGACCCAUUCCGAACCCGGAAGCUAAGCCCUCCAGCGCCGAUGGUACUGCACCCGACAGGGUGUGGGAGAGUAGGA
rnacentral:rRNA from 1 species